rnacentral:snRNA from 1 species
GCACUCACUUUGGCAGCACAUGUACUAAAAUCGGAAUAGAGAAGAUUAGCAUGGUCCCUGACCAAGGGUGACAUGCAAAUUCGUGAAGCAUUCCAUAUUUAA